rnacentral:rRNA from 1 species
GAUGAACGCUAGCGGGAGGCUUAACACAUGCAAGUCGAGGGGCAGCAUAGGGUAGCAAUACUCUGAUGGCGACCGGCAAAACGGGUGAGUAACGCGUAUGCAACCUACCCUGUACAGGGGGAUAACCCGGAGAAAUUCGGACUAAUAUCCCAUAAUGAUAUUGAGAGGCAUCUUUUAAUAUUUAAAGCUCAGGCGGUACGGGAUGGGCAUGCGGAACAUUAGCUAGUUGGCAGGGUAACGGCCUACCAAGGCUGCGAUGUUUAGGGGACCUGAGAGGGUUAUCCCCCACACUGGUACUGAGACACGGACCAGACUCCUACGGGAGGCAGCAGUGAGGAAUAUUGGUCAAUGGGCGCAAGCCUGAACCAGCCAUCCCGCGUGAAGGAAGAAGGCGCUAUGCGUUGUAAACUUCUUUUCCAGGGGGAGAAUAAUCCUGUCGUGACAGGACUUGACGGUACUCUGGGAAUAAGCAUCGGCUAACUCCGUG